rnacentral:rRNA from 1 species
UUAUCGUUUAUUUGAUAUUGCCUAUCCUACAUGGAUAACAGUGGUAAUUCUAGAGCUAAUACAUGCUGAAAAUCCCGACUUCGGAAGGGACGUAUUUAUUAGAAUCAGAACCAAUGCCCUUCGGGGUUUUCUGGUGACUCAUGAUAACUCCACAGAUCGCAUGGCCUUGCGCCGGCGAUGGCUCAUUCAAAUUUCUUCCCUAUCAACUUUCGACGGUACGGUCUUGGCCUACCGUGGUUGUAACGGGUGACGGAGGGUUAGGGCUCGACCCCGGAGAAGGAGCCUGAGAAACGGCUACUACAUCCAAGGAAGGCAGCAGGCGCGCAAAUUAUCCAAUCCCGACUCGGGGAGAUAGUGACAAUAAAUACCGAUACAGGGCUCUUUUGGGCCCUGUAAUUGGAAUGAGUACAAUUUAAACCUCUUAACGAGGAACAAUUGGAGGGCAAGUCUGGUGCCAGCAGCCGCGGUAAUUCCAGCUCCAAUAGCGUAUAUUAAAGUUGUUGUGGUUAAAAAGCUCGUAGUCGAACCUCGAGCCUGGCCGGCCGGUCCGCCUCACCGCGUGCACUGGUCUGGCCGGGCUCUUCCCUCUGCGGAACCGCAUGUCCUUCACUGGGCGUGUCGGGGAGGCAGGACUUUUACUUUGAAAAAAUUAGAGUGCUCAAGGCAGGCCAAUGCUCGAAUACAUUAGCAUGGAAUAAUAGAAUAGGACGUUGGUUCUAUUUUGUUGGUUUCUAGGACCGCCGUAAUGAUCAAUA